AUAUAAGCAAAUUUUGAAUUUUAGGUUCAUUCAAUCAAUGAUGUAUGUGGUUUAUAAUAUUAACCAUAUACAUCAUUGAUUGAAUGAAUCUGAAAGUCAAAAUUUGCUUAUAU
rfam:Medicago truncatula strain A17 chromosome 1, whole genome shotgun sequence.